rnacentral:rRNA from 1 species
UGCGUAGGCGGGUUUCUAAGUCAGAGGUGAAAGCCUGGAGCUCAACUCCAGAACUGCCUUUGAUACUGGAAGUCUUGAGUUCGGGAGAGGUUAGUGGAACUGCGAGUGUAGAGGUGAAAUUCGUAGAUAUUCGCAAGAACACCAGUGGCGAAGGCGGCUCACUGGGCCAUUACUGACGCUGAGGCACGAAAGCGUGGGGAGCAAACA